rnacentral:snRNA from 1 species
GUGCUUGCUUCAGCGGCACAUACACUAAAAUUGGAAUAGAAGAUUAGCGUUGCCCCUGUGCAAGGAUGGCACACAAAUUAGUGAAGUGUUUCUUUUUUUU